AGUGAACGCUGGCGGUAGGCCUAACACAUGCAAGUCGAACGGCAGCACAGUAAGAGCUUGCUCUUACGGGUGGCGAGUGGCGGACGGGUGAGGAAUACAUCGGAAUCUACUUUUUCGUGGGGGAUUACGUAGGGAAACUUACGCUAAUACCGCAUACGACCUACGGGUGGAAGCAGGGGAUCUUCGGACCUUGCGUGAUUGAAUUAGACGAUGUCGCAUUAGCUAGUUGGCGGGGUAAGGGCCCACCAAGGCGACGAUCCGUAGCUGGUCUGAGAGGAUGAUCAGCCACACUGGAACUGAGACACGGUCCAGACUCCUACGGGAGGCAGCAGUGGGGAAUAUUCGGCAAUGGGCGCAAGCCUGAUCCAGCCAUACCGCGUGAGUGAAGAAGGCCUUCGGGUUGUAAAGCCCUUUUGUUGGGAAAGAAAAGCAGCAGGUGAAUACCCCGCUGUUCUGACGGUACCCAAAGAAUAAGCACCGGCUAACUUCGUG
rnacentral:rRNA from 1 species